rnacentral:lncRNA from 1 species
UCUUAGGCUUUUCCUUUCUUCUUUUUCAGGUAAAAUAUGAUUCAAUGAUUUGGUGUGUGAUGCCAGAAACUCCUCAGACUAAUUCUAACUAGGAGGCCCUCAAAUUAAAUUUCAGGCAAGAUAAGUAAAUUUAAUAAAUUUUAAAGAAUUAUUUUGGACUAGGGAUAUCAAAAUUCAGCCACACACACACACACACACACACACACACACAUAUAUAUAUACACACAUAUAUAUAUACACAUAUAUAUAUAUGUUACAUAUGCUAUCAAAUCAACUCAAUGGUCUAUUGGUCUAAGGAUUACUUAGGAUUAAAGAUCACCUCUAAUAUAUUAGGUAUGCUUACAUUGGUAACAUACAUAUCCCAGUUAGGAUAGACAAUGCUGAAUUAAUGACAAAAAAAUUCCUCUGCAUCUCAGUGGCUAUUUUUACUCACAUAAGGUCUGCUGCAGUUCUAGAGAGUCUCCAGGAAAGCCUCCUUCCAGUAGGGGGUGACUUAGGAAUCCAAGCAGGUGCCAUCUUGUGAUUCCAUCUUCACAACAUGGCCUUUUUAUUUGCUGAAGACAGGCAGAAGAGAAGGAUAAUGUAAGACUUUCUCACUGCCUUAGUAUGAAAUUGAAACAUGUCUCUUCCAUUUCUUUCCACUCACAGUCCAUUUGCCAGAAUUAAUCAUAUGGUCCUGCCUAACUGCAAGAAGGGCAGGUACACAGGAAGAAGAAAGGAACCAGAUUUGAUCCCAUGUGUUUUGGAUGAAGUUACUUCUAGGAAGGGGGCAUGAUCGAAUCUUCUGCUUUCCUUUUGAGCAUUUUCUCUGUGAGCCAAACUGACUGUUAUCCCUGCCACCAGGUAUAUUAAUGCUGUAAGGAAUUGUGCAGGAGGUCAAAAACCUGGGGGAUGCCUUACUUGGCCUGAUGUCAAGGUAGGUGACAAAUCCUAUUAAAUCAGAACCUUUUCCCUUCCUGGUAAAUGAGCCUCAU